rnacentral:rRNA from 1 species
AGCGAACGCUGGCGGCAGGCUUAACACAUGCAAGUCGAGCGGGCCCUUCGGGGUCAUCGGCGGACGGGUUAGUAACGCGUGGUAACUUUCCUUCUUGUCUGGAAUAACCCUUGGAAACUUGUGCUAAUACCGGAUACGCCCUUUUGUGGAAAGGUUUACUGCCUGAUGAUCGGCCCGCUUCUGAUUAGCUUGUUGGUUGGGUAACUGCCUACCAAGGCGACGAUCAGUAGCUGGUAUGAGAGGAUGAUAAUCCACACUGGGACUGAGACACGGCCCAGACUACUACGGGAGGCAGCAGUGGGGAAUAUUGGAAAAUGGGCGAAAGGCUGAUCCAGCCAUGCCGGGUGAGUGAUGAAGGCAUUAGGGUUGUAAAGCUCUAUUAACAGGGACGAUAAUGACGGUACCGGAGGAAUAAGCACCGGCUAACUACGUG